rnacentral:tRNA from 1 species
GGAGAGAUGUCCGAGUUGGUCGAAGGAGCACGCCUGGAGAGCGUGUAGCCCUUAAAAAGGGCUCCUGGGUUCGAAUCCCAGUCUCUCCG